GAUGAACGCUAGCGGCAGGCCUAAUACAUGCAAGUCGAACGGUGUCUUCGGACAUAGUGGCGCACGGGUGCGUAACACGUAUACAACCUACCUUACAUUGGGGGAUAGCCUUUCGAAAGGGAGAUUAAUACCGCAUAAGACAGUAGCUGGGCAUCCAGCAGCUGUUAAAGAUUUAUCGAUGUAAGCUGGGCAUGCGUCCAAUUAGCUAGUUGGUGAGGUAACGGCUCACCAAGGCAAUGAUUGGUAGGGGAACUGAGAGGUCAAUCCCCCACAAUGGCACGGAGAGACGGGCCAGACUCCUAUGGGAGGCAGCAGUAGGGAAUAUUGGGCAAUGGACGCAAGUCUGACCCAGCCAUGCCGCGUGCAGGAUGAAGGCGUUAUGCGUUGUAAACUGCUUUUAUACAGGAAGAAACGACCCUUGCGAGAGGCAUUGACGGUACUGUAUGAAUAAGCACCGGCUAACUCCGUGCCAGCAGCCGCCGUAACAC
rnacentral:rRNA from 1 species